UGGUGGAGUGAUUUGUCUGGUUAAUUCCGUUAACGAACGAGACCUCGACCUGCUAAAUAGUUCGACAAAGAAUUCUUUCUUUGGUACGCGACUUCUUAGAGGGACUAUCGGUGUGUAGCCGACGGAAGUUCGAGGCAAUAACA
rnacentral:rRNA from 1 species